AUGAACGCUAGCGGCAGGCUUAACACAUGCAAGUCGAGGGGCAGCACUUGUAGCAAUACAGUCGGUGGCGACCGGCGCAAGGGUGCGUAACGCGUGAGCAACAUGCCCGUAUCAGGGGGAUAAUCCAGGGAAACUUGGUCUAAUACCCCAUAGCAAUUAUUGAGGCAUCUUAAAUAAUUUAAAGGCUUUGGUGGAUACGGAUUGGCUCGCGUGACAUUAGCUAGAUGGUAAGGUAACGGCUUACCAUGGCUACGAUGUCUAGGGGUUCUGAGAGGAAGAUCCCCCCACACUGGAACUGAGACACGGUCCAGACUCCUACGGGAGGCAGCAGUGAGGAAUAUUGGACAAUGGAUGGAAAUCUGAUCCAGCCAUGCCGCGUGCAGGAAGACGGCCCUAUGGGUUGUAAACUGCUUUUGUGUGGGAGCAAUAAGGUCUAUGCGUAGACUGAUGAGAGUACCAUACGAAUAAGCAUCGGCUAACUCCGUG
rnacentral:rRNA from 1 species